rnacentral:rRNA from 1 species
CCUACGGGAGGCUGCAGUGGGGGAUAUUGCACAAUGGGGGAAACCCUGAUGCAGCGACGCCGCGUGGGUGAAGAAGCGCCUCGGCGCGUAAAGCCCUGUCAGCAGGGAAGAAAAUGACGGUACCUGAAGAAGAAGCCCCGGCUAACUACGUGCCAGCAGCCGCGGUAAUACGUAGGGGGCAAGCGGUAUCCGGAUUUACUGGGUGGAAAGGGGGCGCAGACGGCGAUGCAAGCCAGGAGUGAAAGCCCGGGGCCCAACCCCGGGACUGCUCUUGGAACUGCGUGGCUGGAGUGCAGGAGGGGCAGGCGGAAGUCCUGGGGUAGCGGUGAAAUGCGUAGAUAUCAGGAGGAACACCGGUGGCGAAGGCGGCCUGCUGGACUGCAACUGACGUUGAGGCCCGAAAGCGUGGGGAGCAAACAGGAUUAGAUACCCUGGUAGUC